CUCAGGAAGCUCAUGGAGUGAGGACAGCUUUAUAUACCUCCUCUUUUCUACCACAUACUGCCCCUGCGCGAGGACCCCGGGGAGAAUGAACCGGGGGGCGAUGCGGGGGCUACAGCUCGGCCUCAGCGAGGUCCCCGCGGGAGGGCCUUCCGCGUUACGGAGCACAAUGACCGUGGGAAACCCAGGCCGAGUACAGCCCAGGCCCGCCUGGGUUAACCCGCCCGAGAUCGCCGUGAGGCACCGAUGGGGGCGGGGGUUACGGGCGGGCCAUAGCCAG
rnacentral:snoRNA from 1 species